rnacentral:rRNA from 1 species
CGUAGGGUGCAAGCGUUAAUCGGAAUACUGGGCGUAAAGCGUGCGCAGGCGGUGAUGUAAGACAGUUGUGAAAUCCCCGGGCUCAACCUGGGAACUGCAUCUGUGACUGCAUCGCUGGAGUGCGGCAGAGGGGGAUGGAAUUCCGCGUGUAGCAGUGAAAUGCGUAGAUAUGCGGAGGAACACCGAUGGCGAAGGCAAUCCCCUGGGCCUGCACUGACGCUCAUGCACGAAAGCGUGGGGGGCAAACAGGAUUAGAUACCCUGGUAGUCCACGCCCUAAACGAUGUCAACUGGUUGUUGGGUCUUUACUGACUCAGUAACGAAGCUAACGCGUGAAGUUGACCGCCUGGGGAGUACGGCCGCAAGGUUG